rnacentral:rRNA from 1 species
CACUUCUAAGGAAGGCAGCAGGCGCGCAAAUUACCCAAUCCUGACUCAGGGAGGUAGUGACAAGAAAUAACAAUAAACCGGCUUAUGCCGGUUUAAUUGGAAUGAGUACAAUUUAAACAUCUUAACGAGGAACAAUUGGAGGGCAAGUCUGGUGCCAGCAGCCGCGGUAAUUCCAGCUCCAAUAGCGUAUACUAAAGUUGUUGCAGUUAAAAAGCUCGUAGUUGGAUUUCUGUGGGGACGGAGCGGCCGGCCGCACAUCGCGGUUCGAGCUAGCGCUUUCCCUACAUCCUGCCGCGAACCGUGCUACCAUUAGUUUGGUGGCGCUGGGGAUCGGCUCGAUUACUUUGAGAAAAAUAGAGUGUUCAAAGCAGGCCACAUGCCUUGAAUAAGUUAGCAUGGAAUAAUAACUAAGGACUUCGGUUCUAUUUUGUUGGUGUUCGGGACUGAAGUAAUGAUUGAUAGGGACAGUUGGGGCGGUCUGUAUUCCAAAGCGAGAGGUGAAAUUCUUAGACCUUCGGAAGACAAACAGCUGCGAAAGCGUUCCGCAAGGAUGUUCCCUUUGAUCAAGAACGAAAGUUGGGGGAUCGAAGACGAUCAGAUACCGUCGUAGUCUCAACUAUAAACUAUACCAGCUAGGGAUCGGCCAACGUUAUUUUAUACCGACUUGGUCGGCACCUUAUGAGAAAUCAAAGCAUCUGGGUUCCGGGGGGAGUAUGGUCGCAAGGCUGAAACUUAAAGGAAUUGACGGAAGGGCACCACCAGCCGUGGAGCCUGUGGCUUAAUUUGACUCAACACGGGAAAACUUACCAGGUCCAGACAUAGUAAGGAUUGACAGAUUGAUAGCUCUUUCUUGAUUCUGUGGGUGGUGGUGCAUGGCCGUUCUUAGUUGGUGGAGUGAUUUGUCUGGUUAAUUCCGUUAACGAACGAGACCCCAGCCUGCUAAAUAGCGCGCGUGAGCUUUGCUCGCGGCGAGCUUCUUAGAGGGACUAUGAUGCGCGAUAGCACAUAGAAGUUUGGGGCAAUAACAGGUCUGUGAUGCCCUUAGAUGUUCUGGGCCGCACACGGGCUACACUGGCGCCUGCAACGAGCAUAUCAGCUGGCCCGAGAGGGUCUUGGCUAAUCUUUUGAACCGGCGCCGUGCUUGGGAUUGACCUUUGCAAUUGUUGGUCAUGCAACGAGGAAUGCCUUGUAAACGCGAGUCAUCAGCUCGCAUUGAAUACGUCCCUGCCCUUUGUACACACCGCCCGUCGCUCCUACCGAUGAAUGUUCCGAUGAAAUUUUCGGAGAGCACCUGUGAACUUGGCUCUGCCUUGCGAACGGGAGGCUCAAAAUCACUUAAAUCUGAACAUUUCGAGG